CGCGGACAUCUUUCGAAUGGGCGGAAGUGCCUUGGACAUGAUUUCCUUGGAAUAGAUUUAGAGUCAGUCAUGCAAAGCUUCUCAAGGAGAAAUUUAUUUUUUUUAACCAUUUUUUCUAAAUAGUCCACCAUGGAGAGGGAUCGCAGUGGCUGACGCACACUGGAAAUUGCCUUAAGAUUAUAAUGGAGCUCACUUUGGGAGAAAGAGUCAUUGAGUUCAUUGAUUUGGAACAUGAUUAUCUGGAUGAUGGGAACAGAAAAGAAGACGAGAAGGGAGCAAAGAAAGAUGAGGGAUGCUUCAUAGUACUACCUGAUGGAAGACGAUAGCUCUUCACCAUCUGGCAUGAAUUAAAACUCUGAGAACUUCAGUUGUCAUGUUGAAUAGUUUGAUAUGGAAGAAUAAAUAAAAAGGGGGGGAUAUAAGUUUAUGAUUUCUAACAAAUCCAUAAAGAAAAAUAGUAUACCGAUAUGUAAUGCAUUCGGGGACACUGAAUAAACUGCACUCUCCCUUUAAGUACAACUCAGGCCCUAGAUUUCCCCCCCCCCCCCCCAUUUCUUCCCUUGGCAUAUAAAUAAUGCUGUUGCAGAUUUGUGUUAACAGCCCCUUCAUGGAACUGCAUAUAAUUGUCUUGACUUACUGUGUGUUUCAUGUGCUAUUAAACCUUGAUUAUAAAAUUCUGUCUCCAA
rnacentral:lncRNA from 11 species